AGGACGAACGCUGGCGGCGUGCUUAACACAUGCAAGUCGAACGGAAAGGCCCUGCUUUUGUGGGGUGCUCGAGGGGCGAACGGGUGAGUAACACGUGAGUAACCUGCCCUUGACUUUGGGAUAACUUCAGGAAACUGGGGCUAAUACCGGAUAGGAGCUCCUGCUGCAUGGUGGGGGUUGGAAAGUUUCGGCGGUUGGGGAUGGACUCGCGGCUUAUCAGCUUGUUGGUGGGGUAUGGGCUUACCAAGGCUUUGACGGGUAGCCGGCCUGACGAGGGUGACCGGCCACGAUUGGGGACUGGAGAGUACGGCCCAGACUCCGUACGGGAGCAGCAGUGGGAAUAUGCACAAUGGGACGGAAGCCUGAUGACAGACAACGCCGUGCGCGGGAGUCGACGGUCCGUUCGGGUUCGUAAACCGUCUUCCGGACCUCGGUGACGAAGUCGUAGAGGUAGACGGUUAAGAGGGUAAAGAAG
rnacentral:rRNA from 1 species